CGGCGAUCCGGAAGUGGGCGGAGCGUGCUCGCUGGGGUGGUUCCUGCGGAGCUAGGUGGGCUGGGAGAGCCGGGCCUGUGGGAGAUACAGACUGCAAUGGUCCCACCACCAUACCUAUAAGGAUACUUCUGUGAAAUAAGAUUCAGCCAAUAUAUGCAUCAGAGCCCUCAGGAAUAUGAAUGUUUUCUAAUGGGAGGCAUUUAAAUGCCUUAGUUGAAGAUUGAUUCAAAGAAAAGCUCUCUUUUGGAUUCAUCUCAACAUCUAUCAGGAUAGACAGAGAGAGCAACGCAGAGACACAGGAGGAGGAGAAUCAGGCUCCAUGCCGGGAGCCCGACGUGGGACUCAAUCCCAGGUCUCCAGGAUCAGGCCCUGGGCCAAAGGCAGGCGCUAAACCGCUGAGCCACCCAGGGAUCCCCAGGAGGAGGGGGAAACAGGUCUUAACACUCAUGUGAUCCAAGAAGGAAAUGGCAAACAGCACCAAACUGAGGUAUAAUAAGUAUGUUAUUAUACUUAUACCAAUCCAAGUUUUUCAUUUCAAUAGAAUUACCCUUCCUAUUCACGUCUAUCAUUAAAUCUCUGGGUACUGGAAUUCUUCAAACAGUCUUCUAUAGCCUAGGGUCUUAUUACUAACUCCUAAAGUGGUUAGGGAUAAUCAAUCUCUC